GCAAGUCGAACGGUAAGGUCUCUUCGGAGAUACACGAGUGGCGAACGGGUGAGUAACACGUACACAACCUACCUUGUACUGGAGGAUAGCCCCGGGAAACUGGGAUUAAUACUCCAUAGUCUUCAAUGAUCGCAUGAGAAAUGAAGUAAAGUUCCGGCGGUACAAGAUGGGUGUGCGUCCCAUUAGAUAGUUGGUGAGGUAACGGCUCACCAAGUCUGCGAUGGGUAGCUGGCGUGAGAGCGCGACC
rnacentral:rRNA from 1 species